GCGCCGGCCGAGCGGCCUCGCGUUCCCCUACCCUAGCCGCCUCCUGUCUCGUCUCAUCUCUCUCCAAGGAAAGAAAGAAAGCUCCCUCAUGUCCUCCUCCCAGCCUGCGCCUGCCAUGGCGCUCUUCUGCCCAUUUAUCUUACCCAGCUCGCCGACCCUCGCUCCGACGGCAAACUUCUUCCUGGUUGCAUGCCAAUUGGAUCCCCACCCAUGGACUAUUUCUUGUGGUGCAGCCUCAAGAUGUUCACGGACGGGUCGGUGAGAUCUAUCAAUUGGUUCCUCAAUCAACAGCCGGAUGCGUCCGAAUUUCUCGUGGUGCCAACCUAAGAUGAACACGGAUGCCAAGGUCGUUGCCCACAUUUAGUUUGCUCUGAAUGAAAAAUUCUGCUCUUUAGUCUCUGACGAAUUUCAAGGCGGAGGCUAACAGAGUGGCUGGCGGAGUUGGCCACGGGCCAUUAAAUCAAGCAAGGAGAAGGUUAGGCAGCGGCGCAUGACUCUGAAUCUUACAUGGAGGAGGUCAGUGGCUUUAUGGUGAAUUAUUUGCAUCUUCGGGACAUGACAGUUUCUGGUCACAUAUUCAGAUUUCACCGAGGAGGCUUGAGUUGGGCAGGCGUGAUGCAAUUGAAUAUGUAUCGUUGAAUUUUGAGUCCAAGAAAAUUCAUGUUUCUAAUCCUUCGUUCCUGCAAUAGAGUUGCAGUCUUUUGGCUUUUGCAGAUGAUAGCAAGCAAAAUUGAGAUGCAUAGAUUUCCACUACAGGGGUUGAAUGUUCUUCAAGUCAGAAAUAACAAAUCUAGGUAGGGGAGAUUAAAAACUGUGUACAUUAAUAAGAAGGUUACUUGAAUUGCUUUUCUUUCUGCAUAAUAUUCUUCCAUCCAUUUUCUUUGUUUUUAAGUCAUGUUUUGUUAUCUGUUUGAUGCCCGUGAUGGAAAAAAAAUGACAUGUCUUCAGAUUAUGCAGUUUUAGAUUAGGUCAAACUGUUGUUGUAUACGAACUGAAAGUAAUAACUGUAUUUCACUUUGAACCAAGAAUAAUACCAGAAUGAUUUCUUA